GUAAUGAUAACCAGGCUAUAUACACAGGGUACCAGUACUGAGUCAAUGAUAACUAGGUUAUAUACACAGGGUACCAGUACUGAGUCAAUGAUAACUAGGUUAUAUACACAGGGUACCAGUACUGAUCCAUGAUAACUGGGUUAUAUACACAGAGUACCAGGUUAUAUACACAGGGUAGCAGUACUGAGUAAUGAUAACUAGGUUAUAUACACAGGGUAGCAGUACUGAGUCCAUGAUAACUAGGUUAUAUACACAGGGUACUAAACUUUAUGGUGUUGGAGUCGUGUUUGGCCACGCAGUCGUGGGUGAACAGGGAGUACAGGAGGGGGCUAAGCACACACCCCUGAGGGGCCCCAGUGUUGAGGAUCAGCAUGGCGGAUGUGUUGUUGCCUACCCUCACCACCUGAGGGCGGCCCGUCAGGAAGUCCAGGAUCCAGUUGCAGAGGGAUGUGUUUAGUCCCAGGAUCCUUAGCUUAGUGAUGAGCUCGGAUGGCGCUGUAGUGAACAGCAUUCUCACAUAAGUGUUCCUUUUGUCCAGGUGGGAAAGGGCAGUGUGGAGUGCAAUAGAGAUUGUCUCAUCUGUGAGUCCGUUUUUUUUUUUUUUUACAUACAUAUAUAUUUUUUAACACCUUUAUUGAACUAGGCAAGUCAGUUAAGAACAAAUUCUUAUUUUCAAUGACGGCCUAGGAACAGUGGGUUAACUGCCUUGUUCAGGGCCCGGGGAACAGUGGGUUAACUGCCUUGUUCAGGGGCAGAACGACAGAUUUUUACCUCGUCAGUUCGGGGAUUUGAUCCAGCAACCCUUUCGGUUACUGGCCCAACGCUCUAACCACUGGGCUACCUGCCACCCCAUCUGUUGGGGCGGUUUGCGAAUUGGAGUGGGUUGAAGGUGUCUGGGAUUAUGAUGUUGAUGUGAGCCAUGACCAGCAUUUCAAAGCAUUUCAUGUGAGAACUACGGGUCGAUAGCCAUUUUGACAGGUUACCUUAGUGUUCUUGGGCACAGGGACUAUAGUGGUCUGCUUAAAACAUGUAGGUAUUACAGACUCGGACAGGGAGAGGUUGAAAAUGUCAGUGAAGACACUUGCUGGCUGGCGCAUACUCUGAGUACACGUCCUGGUUAUCCAUCUGGACCCCCUGAGGCCUUGUGAACAUUGACCGGUUUUACUCACAUCGUCAACGGAGAGCGUGUGUUAGUUUGCAAACCCUGACACAUGCGACAAACAUCAGAGCCGAUGUCGUAGGAUUCGAUCUUUAGCCUUGUAUUGACGCUUUGCCUGUUUGCUGGUUAGUCAAGAGGGCGUAGCAGGAACUAUCUUGGUAAAUGAUAUGGUCUUCAGAUGAUCUAACUCAGGUGAGCAGGACAUCCUAAAUAUUAGAGAUCGCACACGAGCUGUUGAGAAAAAGACACACACCUCCCCCAUUGAGCUUACCCUCGCUGCCGUUCUAUCCUGCCGAUGUAUAGAAAAACCAACUAGACGCAUAUUUUAUCCAUGUCCUCGUUCAGCCGCGACUCUGUGAAACAUAUGAUAUUACAGUUCUUCAGGUCCCGUUGAUAGGAUAGUCUCAAACGGAGCUCCAUCCAGUUUAUUCUCCAGUGAUUGUUACGUUUCGCCAAUAGAACGGAGGGCAGAGGCGGGUUAUGUACUCGCCCGACGUAAUUUCGUCAGGGUACCCUCACGUCAGCCUCUCUCUCUCUCUCUCUUACGUUGCCCUUUUUCGUGUCUCUGGGAUUAGGGCCUGGUCCGAGGUGAGCAGUACGUUGCCCUUUUUCGUGUCUCUGGGAUUAGGGCCUGGUCCGAGGUGAGCAGUACGACCUGCGCAUCCCGAUUCGUUGAAGUAGAAUUCUACUUCCAAAUGGGAGGUUAGUGAUCCCUGUUCUGAUGUCCAGAAUCUAUUUUCGGUCUUUACAGUCACAGGAAACGAUGACGGAAACAUAAUUAAUAUAACUUUUUUUGGUACAUUAAGUGCAAUAUGUAACCAUUUGGGUGAUCUGACCAAAUUCCCAUAGAAAUGUGAGUUAUAUACAUCUGUCAUUCUCAUUGAAAGCAAGACAAACAAGCGGUAGAUCUGUUCUACGUGCUCUAUUUCUAUGCUUCCCAUUCUUAAGUUUAAUUUCAGCGUCUUUUACAUUCGGUUUUGUACACCAGCUUUAAACCUGCUGAAAAUACAAUAUUUAUGGUUAUGGAAAAUAUAUUUAGCAGCUGUUUAGAUUAAACAUUGAUUCUCUACACAACACUUGCUUGUUAUGUCACACAAACUGAAAUGAGAAUUUUAGGCUCUUGAUCUCUGCUGUUACCAAUAGAAGCUUGCUUUUGCAGGAAGCUAACCCCUUAGCUAGAUAACUAGCCAUCAAACUGCAGAGCCAUUAGCACGUUUUAAACAGUUACCUUAAUAGUUGUAAGAUGUCUAGCUGGUAAAUAUCUCGUAGUGAUUUCCCCUACUGUAACUAGAUCACCUGACGCCUGCUGGACAACAUGGCUCUGGUCUCUCGUCAUCACGUGCUUGCAAACAAAACAACAUGUGACUGGGGACUACCGGUAAACUUCAUCAUGAAAAAAAAUUGUUUCAAUGAACGCAAAUCUGCUUUAUAUCCUAACAUAUGGCACACGUAACGUAGACUGCAGGUAUUUACUCUAAAGAGUAGCGACAAAUAGAAAAACGUAUUAAAUUAGUACAUUUCAACGGUAUUGAAAAACCAUCCCAUGGCCAUUUCCAAAUAUCCGGGUAUACAGUAUACUGCCCAACCCUAGUGUUUGUGUGUGUGUGUGUGUGUGUGUGU
rnacentral:lncRNA from 1 species